GGAUGUGAGGGCGAUCUGGCUGCGACAUCUGUCACCCCAUUGAUCGCCAGGGUUGAUUCAGCUGAUCUGGCUGGCUAGGCAGGUGUCCCCUUCCUCCCUCACCACUCCAUGUGAGUCCCUCCCGAAGCUGCGUGCUGGGUCGAAGAGGACGACCUUCCCCGAAUAGAGGAGGACCAGUCUUAGGUCAAGGGUAUACGAGUAGCUGCGCUCCCCUGCUAGAACCUCCAAACAAGCUCUCAAAGAAUGUCCAAAAAUCUUUAAAAGUAUAUUCAUAAGGAAUAAAUGAGAUUAAUAGUAAGAUGCAUGAAAAUGAAUUUUCCUUG
rnacentral:snRNA from 1 species